rnacentral:rRNA from 1 species
GUAGGUGGCAAGCGUUGUCCGGAAUUAUUGGGCGUAAAGCGCGCGCAGGCGGUCCUUUAAGUCUGAUGUGAAAGCCCACGGCUCAACCGUGGAGGGUCGUUGGAAACUGGGGGACUUGAGUACAGAAGAGGAAAGCGGAAUUCCAAGUGUAGCGGUGAAAUGCGUAGAGAUUUGGAGGAACACCAGUGGCGAAGGCGGCUUUCUGGUCUGUAACUGACGCUGAGGCGCGAAAGCGUGGGGAGCAAACAGGAUUAGAUACCCUGGUAGUCCACGCCGUAAACCGAUGAGUGCUAAGUGUUAGGGGGUUUUCCCGGCCCCCCUUAGUGCUGCAGCUAACCGCAUUAAGCACUCCGCCUGGGGAGUACGGCCGCAAGGCUG